GAUGAACGCUGGCGGCGUGCCUAAUACAUGCAAGUCGAGCGAACGGACGAGAAGCUUGCUUCUCUGAUGUUAGCGGCGGACGGGUGAGUAACACGUGGAUAACCUACCUAUAAGACUGGGAUAACUUCGGGAAACCGGAGCUAAUACCGGAUAAUAUUUUGAACCGCAUGGUUCAAAAGUGAAAGGCGGUCUUGCUGUCACUUAUAGAUGGAUCCGCGCUGCAUUAGCUAGUUGGUAAGGUAACGGCUUACCAAGGCAACGAUGCAUAGCCGACCUGAGAGGGUGAUCGGCCACACUGGAACUGAGACACGGUCCAGACUCCUACGGGAGGCAGCAGUAGGGAAUCUUCCGCAAUGGGCGAAAGCCUGACGGAGCAACGCCGCGUGAGUGAUGAAGGUCUUCGGAUCGUAAAACUCUGUUAUUAGGGAAGAACAUAUGUGUAAGUAACUGUGCACAUCUUGACGGUACCUAAUCAGAAUGCCACGGCUAACUACGUG
rnacentral:rRNA from 1 species